UUUGAACAAGGAAAAGAUAACGUAUCCAGUGUGAUCUUUUCCUAAUGAAAUUACCUAAUGAUACUCACAGCAGGUUCUGAAACCCCCAGAGACACCCUAACGGGUCUAUGGAGAACGGUGAUGUGCCUGCUGUGGAUGCCAUGGCCCUCCUAGAAAAAAUAAAAAAAAGAGGUGCAUUUUAGGUCAGGUUUAAUGAACGCCUACUGGAAAAUUCCUUAAAAGUGUGGUUAAAUGAAAAUACUUUUAUUUUAUUAUUAUUUCUGAAAAUCAGUCACUCUGAGUUUUUCAUGCAGGCUGAACAUGAAAAUGGUCUCCUACACCUAUCUCCUGCAUCAGCUUCUGAUGGAAAACAGACGGGGAAACUCUGGAAUUAGAAAAGCCUGACAGAUCUACGUCACACUGACACCAACAUUCAUGGACUCACCCAUUUGGACUCACGACAAGGAAGGCUGUUGGUUUAGUGUCCGGCAACUGGUAGAGGACAUCUUGGCUAGUAGAAGCUAACCAUUAGCAUUACCAACACCACCACACAGCAGAACUCUAGACUUGUGUCAUUUGUGGAGAUAAAACAUCCAUGUUGCAAGUCAGCAGUAGAGUGUCACGAUUUGGUGUAGGAGGAUGUUUAGGACCCAAAAUGCAGAGAACCAGAUGAACCAGGCAGGAGGUAGAUGAUGAAAAUAAAUCCUUUAUUUACAGGGUAUCCGCGGGUCCUUAAAAAGUCUUAAAUUAGCUUUUCAAAAUUUAAGGCCUUAAAAGUCCUUAAAAAUGACAAAUAAUCCUUAAAUACAGUUUCCAAAGGUCUUAAAUUACCAAAGACCCAAUAAACAAGAUUCUUUUAUUCUAUAAAAUGUUCGUGAAUUUAUAGUUAGUGUUCAGCUUUUUUUGUGUGUGAUAUUGGCGUAAGCGGAAACGUACACAUUCAGUUGGUUGUGGAAGGGGGGGGGCUAUUUUUAGAUGAGCACAUUAGCUGGUUAAGCUAGUGGGAGCUUGCGCCAUGGGGAAGUGCAAGUUUAAUGUUAACUGGAUGGCUAAUCCCACGUUCACGACAUGGUUAGCGCCGGUUCCGGGCAAUAACUGCGAGGCCCGCUGUACUCUGUGCAAAAAGCUCUUUAAACUCGGUUCCAUGGGAGUUAGAGCUGUGGAGUCGCAUAUGCACAGCGAGAAGCACAGAGCCGCAGCCAAAACCCGCGAACAGACGAAUGCAAUUUCUCAGUUCUGCACCGUGUCACCAGUUUCCCCGGCUUCAGAAUCUCCGAACUCAGCAGCGACCGCAUCAGCAUCGGACCUCAGGGGGAUUUUGGGAUCCACUGCAACUCUUCAGGCAGAGGUACUGUGGUGCCUGCACAGCGUAACAAGACACCAAUCCUACGGCGCUAAUGAGGGAGUCGGAGACAUAUUUAGAGCUAUGUUUCCCGACUCAGAAAUUGCUAAAAACUUUACGUGUGGUAAAGACAAAACAGCAUAUGUAGUCAAAUUUGGUUUGGCUCCCCACAUCAUCAAACUCCUUAUGGCCGAUGUCAACAGAGGCAGUUUUACUUUGAUGUUUGAUGAAACCCUCAACCAGAUGACCAAUACAAAGCAAAUGGAUCUGCAUGUUCGCUACUGGAAAGAGGAUCGAGUCCAGUCCAGGUACCUAGGAUCACAGUUCAUGGGCCAUGGAACAGCGAAGGAUUUACUACACCACUUUAAAGUAAGUAACAAGCCAACACUAGUAAAACACAUGUAGCCAAUGUUGUCAGAAAAUUAUGGGUAAUUAUUGCAAUUGUGUUGCUGUAAUCCAUAAAUGGGAAUACAUUUUAUUUUUCAACUAGAAUUUUUUUAUUUGAAAAAAACAAUUCAAUAAUAUGACUUUUUCAGUGGAGCAGUUCAAAGUUUUUCUUGUUUUGAUACAUUACCCAGCCUAAAGCUCAGUUUUUUCCUCAGGAAUGCUCUCAGCAGCUGGAUUUGAAAAAGCUGCUUUCAGUCUCCGUGGAUGGGCCCAAUGUAAACUGGAAGUUUUUGGAGUUGCUUCAAGAAGGACUGCGUGAGCAGUAUGAGGGGAGACAGCUGAUUGUGGUUGGGAGCUGUGGCCUUCACACUCUACAUAAUGUCUGCAAAAGUGGUUUCUCUAUGUGGCAGCUAGAGAAAGUUUUGAAAGCCAUGCAUGUUCUCUUCCAUAAUGUGCCAGCUAGGAGAGAGGACUUCAUAACUUUGACAGCUUCUGCAAAGUUUCCACUUGCAUUCUGUAGCCACCGAUGGCUUGAAAACUUACCAGUAGCAGAGAGAGCCUUGGAGAUGUGGGCAUCUUUGACCAUGUACCUGGAUGCAGUCAGAAUGAGGAAGCUACCAAAUCCAGGAACUGCAUCUUUUGACACACUUGAAACUGCUCAGAAAGACCCCCUUAUCCUUGCAAAGCUACAUUUCUACAUUGCUGUUACCAGGACUUUCGCUCCUUUCUUGACAAGAUAUCAAACUGAUGAACCAGUGAUGCCAUUCUUGGCCACAGACUUGGCAGAGUUGAUGAAGAGUGUGCUAAGGCGUUUGUCAAGAGAGAAAUCCUGAAGGAUAUCAGUCCACUGCAGCUGGUCAAACUGGAUGUUGGUGACAAGAAUAACUGGGUCCCCCUGCAAGAUGGCACCCUAGGUUUGGGUGCAGAGUCAGUUCUUAAGGAACUUCAGCAACAAAAAAGAUAGGGGAGCGUACUGUCCUGGAGUUCAGGAAAGACUGCAUCAAGAUGCUGUCCACCAUCAUUCAGAAAGUGCAAGACAAGAGUCCAUUAAAGUACCCCCCUGUUAGGCAGGUUGCCUGUUUGGAUCCCAGGAGGAUGUAUUCUGACCCAGACUGGUGCCAGAUAAACAUGACUAACCUGGUGCAGAGGUUUCUGCAAAACCAGCAGUUAUCAGGAGGUGUCUCUGCUGGUAGGAGAGAAUACAGCAGUUCAGUGUGUUCAUGUAAAAAUAUAUGAAGAAAAUUAAUUUUGCAGAUACAUGUUAAAUAUAUCAGACAUGAGGUGCAAUCAGUCUCACAAAAACUCUUGCUUGCAGCUUUAAUGUAUACAAUCAAAAUACAUUAAGUCAUUUUUUUAUCACUGUGUUUUUUUGCAGGUGAUGUAAUUGUCCAGCAGUUUACUGAGGUCUUCAGAUCAGUUGGAGCGAGAAGUGAGACCUUUCUCUCCUACAGACCCACAGAGUGUAGACUGGAUGUAUUUCUCAAUGGCGUCCUGAGCCAAUGCUAUCAGGAGCUAUUGGAGUUUAGCAAGAAACUACUACUUCUGUCCCAUGGACAAGCAAGAGUGGAGAGAGGAUUCUCUGUAAACAAAGAGGUGGAGACCUACAAUAUGCAGGAAGACACAAUGAUUGCUCAGCGACUGGUCUGUGAUUAUGUCACUGUCUCUGGGGGGGUCUUCAAUGUUCCUAUGUCAAAGGAGCUACUUGUGUCGGCUGCAUCAGCAAGGUCCAGAUACAGAGUGCAUCUAGAUGAGCAAAAGAGGAAGAAAAUCACUGAUCGCGAGGCACAGAAGCGAAAUCUGCAGAAGAAGCCAUUGAGGAGCUUAGGAAAAAGAAGCAAAUUCUGCUGCAGGUGUCCAACAGCCUACAUAGAGAUGCUGAUAAACUUGCAGAAGAUGCUGAAGGGAAGAGUGGAGGCCUGAUGGCCCAGCUCAUCACAAAGUCAAACACGCUGAGGAAGAGAUACAGAGAAAAAUGUAUGAACUAGAACAGGUGGAAACUGAACUGAAGACCAAGACUGAAGAUCUCAGAUCUAUUCCAUAACUGAGAAAAGAGAAGGACCAUUUACUUAUAUUUAGUAUUCAAUACAUGGUACUUGUAUUCAUUUUACACGUUCAUGUAAACUCAGUUUAUUUAAAUACGAAUAUUCACAGUAUUUAACUCAGAGUUGUUAGUACUGCAUUUUGUUUUUGGAAAAUAUAUGCACAGAUUCUCUUAUCUCGAUGUUUGUGUUAUUUUUCAUCACUUUCAGUUCCAAUAAAGGUUUGGCCAGAACUAUUUGUAAGGUCGUACUCGUCACAUUAUGUUUUUUAGUCUUGGAUGUAAGGUCUUAAAUUUGGUCAAAGUGGCCUUAAAAAAAGGUCUUAAAAAGUCUUAAAUUUGGCUCCCUUAAACCUGCAGAUACCCUGUAUUUAGGAGUAAUCCAAAGGCAGGGAGCUAAAAACCAAAAAUCCAGUCAUCUAAACUGAGUAAAUAACAACGCUAGAGGACUAGAGACACUGGAAACACUAGAAGCUAGGAACAGGAACAAGGCUGACAAGAACUACAGACAAACAUUAAUGGACCGACAAGAACACAGAGACAGACAGGGCUUAAAUACACUGGGAGGAGCAAUCAGGGAAACAGGAAGCAGGUGUGUGGGGUGAGCUGCUGGAGGGAAGGCAGGUGACACUAAUCAACUCAAUGGGGAAAACAGAAACAGAGGAUGGCAAAUACCUUAACACAAAACUAAACAAUUUCCUAAAGACAGAGGGAAGGACUCGCACAAACUAGCUGGAGGAGGACAUAGGACAUACACACACUGAGCUGGGGACAACGAGGCUGGAGCUGACCUGGGAGGAAACAGUGAAAAAGAUAACAUCAGACACUAAACUGACACACAGAAAAAGGACACAAGAGGGCGCCAAAGGGCUACAACAUAAGACACAUAACAGGGAUGCAGACAAGGACACAUGAGGGCGCUAAGAGAGCACAAGGGGAGAACCUGGAGUGGAGCACAAGAGGAGCUGGGGAACAA